UAAUAAGUGUUUUAUGGCCACUUUUUAAAUCCAUAUCCACCUUGUGUGCAAUGUCAGUCGAUCUUCUUCAUGGAGAUCGACCAAACAUCAACCUUUAUCUUUUAACAUCUUUGUCUGAAAAAUAUUAUGAAUAAACAAUUCAAAAUA
rnacentral:misc_RNA from 1 species